CCUAGCAUUCUUCUCCACAUCCAUUCUCAGUAACGUUCCAAAGAUUUUUCAACCCAAAAUCAGAGGAGGUCUCACCAUUUCGGGAAAGACCUCAGAUAUAUCGUGCUAAGAACGCUCUUUGACUGAAGGUUGAAUUCGGAUUGCAAUGGAGUCUUAAUUCGGGACUCUCUCAAAACUCGGAGUCUUAACCCAAGACUCUCCCGUUACCCGAGCAUGGAGUCAAUUCCGCAGAGUUUCCUUUAAAUGCAUCGAAUCUCCCAAGAGGAACGAGCGACUUUCGCUUCGGGCCUCCCAUGGCAAUCUUUCCUCUACCAGUCAUUCUAUUCUUAUUAUUUUUGUUGACUUGUGUUCUUGUUAUUUUUUGUUGACUUGUGUAUGUUUGGUUUAUCCCAGUUUUGGGGUUGUAGGAUAAAUUUAUAGUAGUUAAUACAGGUUUUAGUUUUAUCA